rnacentral:lncRNA from 1 species
UGUAGACACUCAAAAGCUUUCUUCUACGUUUGUUCUUUUAUGGUACAAGGAUUGUGAAAAAGAUGAGCGGCAUACCUCUCCCAUAUCACUUUCAAAUUUUUUAAGCAUUAUUCAUCCGUUGAAUGCCUUGAAUUUCAAGUGAAAAAUGUAGUGCAUGUUUCUAUUGCAAAUAUACAACACGCAGCUGUCAUCAUCUAUAAGGGGUCUAUUACCAAAUGCUGUAAAUUUGAAACAUUGCUAGAUAACUUCAUGGACGAUUUUGGUGAUGAAAAUCCUAGCACUGAUGAAGUAAGCAAGUUUGCCCUCAAUUAUAUUGAAGGCAAUACUGACGGAAAAAGAAAACAUUCUGAUGGAGACCAAUCCUCAGAUUCAGAGAAUAUUGCACCGGUCUCAGAACAUACAGGCCUAAACGGACCUAAAUAUAAAUCGACUCCUAAAUCAAAGGUGCUGAAAAAAAAAACAUGUAAAUGAAGUGUUGAAUGAAAAUUCAAAAUCAGAGUCCUUUGCAUCAUUUUAUAACAGUCAAAAAGGAUCUAAAAAAAGUGAAGCACAGAUUAUGGCUUUGGAAAAGCGAAAGCUUGACAUGCUACUUGACAAUGUUGAUGCUCCCAGAGCAUUGAUGCUUCCAAUAAUUAGUGAUGUUCCUAAAACACUGUGG